AAAGGAAGAGAAAGGGAUUGAGAAAAGAGAAGAGAAACGGGAGAAAGAAGAGGAGAGGGAGAAGGAGAAAGAGAGAGAGAGAGGACAUGAAUGAGAUGAGAGAGGAAUGGGAAAGGAAAGGAAGAGAAAGGGAAUGAGAAAAGAGGAAAGAAAAAGGGAGACAGAAGAGGGAGAAAGAGAGAUAGAGAGAAAGGGAAAGGGAGGAAAGAAAGAGUAAGGGAUUGUCAUCGGAAAGAAAGGAAAGACGAGAUGACAGAGAGAGUGACAUGCUGAAAAAAAAAAAGGGAGGAGAAAGAAGGAAAAAUGGAGCGAUAUAGGGUUAUGUUAGCAUGGGUUAGAAUGAAGGAGAUUGAGUUAGGUUGAACAAGAGUGUGUUAGGUUAGGUUAGGUUAGGUUAGGUUAGGUUUGGAUGGGUUAGGUGAGGUUGAGAAAAGCCACAUAGAAAAUAAAUCAUGUAAGGUUACGUUAGCAUGGGUUAGAAUGAAGGAGAUUGAGUUAGAUUGAGCAAGAGUGUGUUAGGUUAGGUUAGGUUAGGUUUGGAUGGGUUAGGUGAGGUUGAGAAAAGCCACAUAGAAAAUAAAUGAUGUAAGGUUAUGUUAGCAUGGGUUAGAAUGAAGGAGAUUGAGUUAGAUUGAGCAAGAGUGUGUUAGAUUAGGUUAGGUUAGGUUAGGUUAGGUUUGGAUGGGUUAGGUGAGGUUGAGAAUGGCCACAUAGAAAAUAAAUGAUGUAAGGUUAUGUUAGCAUGGGUUAGAAUGAAGUAGAAUGAGUUAGGAUGAGCAAGAGUGUGUUAGAUUAGGUUAGGUUAGGUUUGGAAGGGUUGGAUGAGGUUGAGAAAGGCCACAUAGAAAGGGAGCGAUGUCGGGUUAUGUUAGCAUGGAUUAGAAUGAAGUAGACUGAGUUAGGAUGAGCAAGAGUGUGUUAGAUUAGGUUAGGUUAGGUUUGGAAGGGUUAGGUGAGGUUAGGAAAGGGUAAUAGAAAGGGAUUGUGAAAAAAGGAAAAGAGGGGAAAAGGGGAGGAAAGAGAGAGGGGAAAUGAGAAAAUAGGGGACAAGGAGAGAGGAAGGGGAGAGAAGGAAUGAGAAAGGGAGAAAGAGGGGAACAGGGAAGAGAUGGAAUGAGAAUAUAGGAAGGAGGGGAAACGAAGAGAGGAAAGGGAGUUAGGAAAUGAGAAAGAAGGAAAGAGGGGAAAAUGGAGAGACAGGAAAGAAAGAGAAGGAACAAGAAGAGGGGAAAGGGAGAGAAAAAGGAGAGAUGGAAUGAGAAAAGAGAAAAGAAUGGAAAAGACGAAUGGGAAAGGGAAGGAGAAAGGGGGAAAGAGGAAAAAAGAAGAGAAAAAAAGAGGAUGGAGGGGUCGAUAAUGGGUAUAUAGAGAGAAUGAGAGAGGUAGAAUAGGUUGAGGUUAGGUUGAGGUAGAGGGGGAAGAGGGGAACUGGGGAAAGGAAAAGGAUAGAAGAAACAAGAAAGGGGGAAAGAAAGAAAAGGGAGAGAAAAGGAAAGAGAAACACUUGAAACACUUUAUUAUGCUUACAAAAAUAAGGCAUAGGAAAGAGAUGGAAUGAGAAAAGAGAAAAAAAGAGGGAAAGAAGAAACAAAUGUGAUAGACAGAAAAUAUGAAAAAAAAGUAAAGGGACAAGGGAAAGAAGAAGGGCAUAGGAGAGGUUGGGAAUAG